UCGGAUCAGGAUUGCCCCAGUAACGGCGAGUGAAGCGGCAAUAGCUCAAAUUUGAAAUCUGGCCCUUUCAGGGUCCGAGUUGUAAUUUGUAGAGGGUGCUUUGGCGUUGGCUGUGGUCUAAGUUCCUUGGAACAGGACGUCGCAGAGGGUGAGAAUCCCGUAUGUGGCCGCCAGUCUUCGCCGUGUAAAGCCCCUUCGACGAGUCGAGUUGUUUGGGAAUGCAGCUCUAAAUGGGAGGUAAAUUUCUUCUAAAGCUAAAUAUUGGCCAGAGACCGAUAGCGCACAAGUAGAGUGAUCGAAAGAUGAAAAGCACUUUGGAAAGAGAGUCAAAAAGCACGUGAAAUUGUUGAAAGGGAAGCGCUUGCAGCCAGACUUGCCUGUAGUUGCUCAUCCGGGCUUUUGCCCGGUGCACUCUUCUAUGGGCAGGCCAGCAUCAGUCCCGGCGGUUGGAUAAAUGCCUGUUGAA
rnacentral:rRNA from 1 species